GAGUCUCGGUCUCUCUUCGUUUCUUCAGUCUAGGGUUGGUUUUGUGAGAUGGAGAGGAUCAAAGAAAACAAGGGAGUCUUGUGUUUUUUGAGGGGAAUGUUGUCUGGCUCGAGGCCCCUAUAACCAGAUCUAUGAUCUAACUCAUCUCAAUUGACAAAAUUUGGUCAUCGGUCUAUGAUAUCAUAGAUUUGAUCCAAUUGAGAUGCAGAUCAUUGAAUCUACAUUUAGCGACGUCGGACCAGGCUUCAUUCCCCCCAAU
rnacentral:lncRNA from 1 species